rnacentral:misc_RNA from 1 species
AAGGCGGCCGGAGUACGAGCAACAAAACGUCGAAAUUACGGCGAGGUACUCGUGCUCCGUUUGCCCGAGGAGUUUCUUCGUUCUUGCGCACCUAAGGAUGCACGAAACGACGCACGAACUCGCGCCGCAUUCCUCAUCGGUGUUAGGUGCAUCUCCGUCGAACGUGCCUACUUCUCGUAGCACGAAUUCUACUACCGGACUGAUGUCCGGCAUGUCCGUCGUCGUACCUGCUGGUGCUGCUACAGGCAAUAUCGAGAAAACAUUUAGCUGUGAUCGAUGUCAAGCGAGUUUUCGAUACCGUACACUCUUGGAACGUCACAGAAAGAUGCACGAACUCGGACAGGAGAAACCCUACUCUUGUCCAAGAUGUCUUAUGCGUUUUGAGACGCGUAAUCUUUACAAUCAUCAUGCUAAAACUCACAAACCUAGCAUCGAUGCCAAUGACAGACUCGCAAUAGACAGCAAUGCAGUCUCUCUAACAGAUCCUAAUCUUACGGUUACUGGAACUAACCCUUCUGUUGUCAGUUAUUCUCCAUCUCCAACGGUGGAUGCUGCUAAUGUCAACAAAUCGUUGACUACAGUCUCUUAUCCUUGUGACUCUUGCUCAAAACAAUUCACCACCAUUGAAUCCCUCACCAGUCACAAGGCUGUACACAGGUCCAGGCCAUUGGUCUGCGAUGUUUGCGGCAAAGGUUUUACUCAUCGCAAGUAUUACGUCGUUCAUCAACGUAUUCACACUGGUGAGAGGCCUUAUUUAUGCGCCAUGUGUGGUAAAUCAUUUACUCAAGCAUCUACCCUCACGGUUCAUCGUCGUUAUCACACUGGAGAACGACCAUACACUUGUACACUUUGUGGGAAGGGAUUCGUUACAAGAACUAUUAUGCUUAAUCAUAUGAAGAAACAUUGAAAAGGAUAUUUUAUCUAAACAAUUGUUUCUCGUGAUAGCUUAAAUGAAGGUAGCACAUUGAAGAUUUUUUUGGUUAUAUAUUUAUGUGUAUAUACAUAUACACACAUAUAAAAUUGGAAAAACAAGGAAAUUUAAGGUAAGACAAACUGAUAGAAUGAUUAUUUUGAACGGUUUUUUCAUAUUAAUUGAAUAUUCGAAGUACCUGGAAUUAUUUUUUUUUCCUUAUUUAUUUUUUGUAUAUAACGAUCUUAACUUUAUAAGAUAGAGUUUUGAAGGCUCUAACAGGUUGUGUUAGUUGUAAUACAAUAUCGUCAAAAAAUGAGAUAAUUAUUUGAUACUUAGCUUUUAGUGUCUAAUAUCAUCUCUGUGAUAUCGUUUGAAAUGCCUCUAUCAUAUUAUUAAAACAAUCAAAUGAGAAAUUUGUAUCGUUGAACGUUAAGAGGCAUAUAAUGAAAUACAUGUUUAGAUAGAAAUGCAAAAAUAACUAAACAGGAACAUGGAGAAUGCAGAGUAAUAUAGAUUUAGGUAAUUAUCUCGCUCGAGUGUGUUAAUUACUCGCGAGAAUUGUGUUUUGUACCUGUAUAGGAUAUAUUGAGAUUUCAUUUGAAGUUUAACGUGCCUAAGACAUGUGCCUAAUUUUUCUUAUUAAUCUUAAAACAUCAUGUGGAUUAAAAUUAAUGAAUAUAUAAGAAAACGAUACGUACGUUUUGUGUACGUAACUUUUGAGAUUACGGGAAUUAAUGAGAAAUUUAUAAAGUUAAAUGCAAUUUAACUUGACAUGUGCAAUAUAUAUAUAUAUACGAAUUUAAAACGACGUUCUUAGAUUUAAAUUGCGUAGUAUCACAAUAGUCGAACAGAAAAUAAACUUUCGACAAAUUUAGGUGCUUUUCAUGACUGCAAGCGGGCCAAAUUUUGCCGCUAUAAUACACUAAGUGGUUAUAAAACUUUUUCGUGGUAAUAGAUGG